rnacentral:lncRNA from 1 species
GGGCAAUAGGUCAUAGAUAAGAAGCAUCUGGUGAGGUGACCCAGCUGAAAGGCAAGGGUCCAUCAUGUGGAUUGGGCUAAUGAUUAACAUCAAGUUUUAAUAAGUCAGCAUUCAGCAGUUUGCAGUCCCCAAGUGACCCCUGAAUGUCAGUGUAACAGUUUGGGGUUGGACAGCCAUUGGCUAGGUAAAUUACAAAGUGUCCCAUCAAUAAUAUGGGGGUAGAGAUAACAAGCUUUUGUCACAUGGUGAUCUUGUCAGCAUCCUUGACCAGCAGGGGAGUGGCAGCUAUGAUCCAGAGGCACUUUCGCCAAUUUCAGGUCACCAGGACCUAUUUCUUGGAUAAAUAAGCCAUUGGUCUCUUUCAUGGUUCCAACUUUUAGGGGACCUGGAGCAGUUGCUGAACAUUGCCUAAGGUGGGCCAGUGAGUUACAUGACUGAAUCUAAAAGACCUAUGAGUAUUGAGUUUCUCAAUGAAAAUGGAAAAGUUUGCAUCUUUCAGUUAUAAAUGCCUGUACUUGCUAGUUUUGUGUCAACUUGACAUAGCAGGAGUUUCACAGAGAAAGGAGCUUCAGUUGAGGAAAUGCCUCCAUGAGAUACAACUGUAAGGCAUUUUCUCAAUUAGUGAUCAAGGGGGAAAGGCCCCUUGUGGGUGAGACCAUCUCUAGGCUGGCAGUCUUGGUUGUAUAAGAGAGCAGGCUGAGCAAGCCAAGAGUAAGCAAGCCAGUAAAGAACAUCCCUCCAUGGCCUCUGAUCAGCUCCUGCUUCCUGACCUGUUUGAGUUCCAGUCCUGACUUCCUUGGUGAUAAACAGCAGCAUGGAAUUGUAAGCUGAAUAAAACCUUUC